CCUCCAACCUUUACUUUUCCUUUGGAACACGUGCCAGGCCCUGAAUGAAGUGCUGGCUUUUGAACUUGCUUUUGAUCUACCCCCAGCCCACCCCAAGCUUCAGUUAUACAGUAUGUUUAUCCAGUUAAGGUUCAUUCCAUUGGAAGGGCUCUCAGCGGAAUAGCCUCUGCUUUGCCUGCAGGAUGUCCCAGGUUCAACCUUCACUGGCAUCUCCAGGCAGGGCUGAGAAAGAUUCUUGGCCUGAAACCCAGGAGAGCUCAUAAUACUGAGCUAGACGGACCAGUAGAGGGAGGCAACUUCCUGUGUUCAGCGCCUUUUUAAAAAGAAACAAACUGGAUGUUUGGGAAGAAGUCGAAACAGUGCUCUGCGCAAGAAGGUAUGUGCGGUUUGCUGACUGCCACAAAGGCCUGCCAAUCAACACUCUACAGCUUGAUGGGGGAUGAAAAAGGGCUUCAUAAGGAAGGCCAACCAAUCAUCACUCCGCGCAGUCGGAUGGAGAGGGAGGUGGCUUUGGGUUGCCACAGUUGCCAGCUAGCUGUUGAGAUUCUGCACAGCUGCCGAGGACAGAAAGAAAUGGUUGGUUCUACAGUGGUACCUCGGGUUACAUACACUUCAGGUUA